rnacentral:rRNA from 1 species
GAUCAUGGCUCAGGAUGAACGCUGGCGGCGUGCAUAACACAUUCAAGUCGAACGGGGCAGCAAUGCCUAGUGGCGGACGGGUGAGUAACGCGUGAGCAACCUGCCCUUGCGUGGGGGAUACCAUCUGGAAACGGAUGUUGAUACCGCAUAAAGUACAGGCGACCGCAUGGUCGUAGUACCAAAGAUUUAUUGCGCAAGGAUGGGCUCGCGUCCCAUUAGAUAGUUGGCGAGGUAACCGG